AAAUAUCCAAGAGACCAGCGGAGAGGAAGAGGAGAGUCAAGUGGAGAUCUUAGAGGAGGAAGAGCAUCACGCUGAUCUCGGGUCACAAAGAGCCGGACCACACACUCAAAACAAGCCUGCAGCCAACAACAGAAGGCGUCUCAAAGCUGCUGCAGUGACUCUGGGAGGGUUUUAUCUUCUGAUAUUGGCUGCACUCUUCAUUCGCUUCACUUUGCUGCAGA